UUUUAGUUUUGUCGAAGUUUUGUUGAUGUUCUGUGCGAUUGACAAACAAGAUAGCAGGCCAGGGACUUGGAUUUAUGUCAGAGUUGUCCUGUUACCCCAUUUUAAUGGUUCCAUGGCUUGCCUCACUGUAAGACCUCACCCAUAUACAACAAUGCAGCAACUCACUCAUAAGGCAUAAGGGAUUUCGGUCACCGCCUUAGAUUGUGUGAUCCUUGAAAAGCUGAGUGAAUCAAAGUAGAUAUCAAGCAUGAGGGAAUUUUUAAUUGGUCGACAUAUGAUUUCCGUUGGUAACUUGCAUAUGAUAAACUGAUAUCUACAUUCAUGCACACAAAGACAGCAGUAGAUUAAACAAGACGGCCUACAGCUUUGGCAAACAUGCUAAACUAUGGUUAUGGUGUUGGAUCUACAUGGAAAGGUUCCAUGGCAUGCUUCACUGUAUGACCUCACCCAUAUACAACAAUGCAGCAACUCACUCAUAAGGCUGAUUUCGGUGACCGCCUUAGAUUGUGUGAUCCUUGAAAAGCUGAGUGAAUCGAAG